GUAGGUUGCGAGCGUUGUCCAGAUUUACUGGGCGUAAAGCGCGCGCAGGCGGCUUCGAAAGUCCACGGUGAAAGCUCCCGGCCCAACUGGGAGAGGCCCGUGGAAACUCCGGAGCUUGAAGGCAGGAGAGGCAGAUGGAAUUUCCGGUGUAGCGGUAAAAUGCGUAGAUACCGGAAGGAACACCAGUGGCGAAGGCGAUCUGCUGGCCUGUUCUUGACGCUCAGGCGCGAAAGCUAGGGGAGCGACCGGGAUUAGAUACCCCGUUAGUCCUGGCUGUAAACAAUGGGCACUAGGUGUUGUCGGUAUCGACCCCGGCAGUGCCGUAGCUAACGCAUUAAGUGCCCCGCCUGGGGAGUACGACCGCAAGGUUA
rnacentral:rRNA from 1 species